rnacentral:lncRNA from 1 species
UUUUUUUUCUUAUUUGUCAGUCUACUUAAGAACUUAUAUGACUGCUUGUUCUGUUAUUGUGUGAUUCCUAAUUCUGUUUGGGAUUCCCCCUUCCCCCUUAAGCUGGAUGAUGUUGACUUGAGAUUAUGUAUCAUCUCUUAACAUUUUUCAUACUUUCCUUUCCUCCUUUUUUGGCUAUUCCCUGAAUAACCUAAACUUUGAAGGAAGAAGAUUAUGCAAGCAUAACUGACACAAAACCUGCUCUAAGUUAAUUGGGAUGAAUUUAUUCCCUUGAGUCAGAUAGGUUUUGUUAUGGCUCACACCCCUCACUUAUGACCUAAUGGAUGAUUACUUCUGGGAUUGAUGGUUUAUCCGACAUGGUUAACAUGGUUCCAAUUCCAAUUUUCAUUUAACGGUUUUGGUGGGCCUGUUACAUUCCAUGAAGAUGCAGGCAUUGAGGCUGAUCUCUAAUGGCGGUUAAUCAGAUGAAUUUGCUGGGUCAAAUUUUUACUGAUGGUACAUAAAAGGUAUACAGCAGUAGAUUUUAGAAGUUAAACCAAAGGAUCUUUUGUUAUGCUCUUCAACAAAUAUUUGACCCAGGAAGUGUGUAAGCUGAAAAAUUUUGGGUUAAAAGAACUUAAGAGAUUUAAGCUUGUUAAUAUCUAUAAAUAUUUCCUUGCUCUCUUCCUCAUCUUCUAUGUUUCUUUUCUCUUCUCCUUUUUUUUUCUUUUCCCCACCUCCAUUCUCUGUUCUUUUUCCGCUUGGAAGUUGUUUGGUUUAGGCAAGUCUCUUUAGAGCUGACUGGAGCCCGAUGUCCCCAGACGGUUUAGCAUCGUUUUUCCUCAUUGUUGAGUGUGAGCAGAUUGGCUAACUUACUGUUCUUAAUUUCUCAGUCAAAGUAAUUUGUUUUCAUACACAGGUAAUUUUUAUUUUUUAUUUUUGUUUAAUCAUUGGUUGUUGGCUUUUUGUAGAAAACAGUUUUUAUAAAAAAAAAAAAUAAUAAUAAUAAAUAAGGGAGCCUCUUCAUUAUGUCAUUCAUAAAUAGCUGUUAUUUUUAGUACUAGUGAAAGCUAGUUAAUCGUUGUGAUUUCUCACUUUCAGUCAUUUUUUGCAGUCCUGUCCAUGUAAUUUUUGAAGAUUGUUAUUUUACUUUGACCUUGCCCGCUUCCAUGUUGAUGCCACGUCUGAUUUUCCUCUAAAAACUAAAGGACAUAUUGUUAAAAAAACCUAAUGGAUUUGAAUUGAGUGACUAAACUAAAACAAAAAAGCAAACAUAAGUGACCACUUCAGAACAAAACAAUGUUCGGUGACUGGCAUGAAACUUAGCAAUAAAUUGAGUUGCUAACAGUGUUUAUUUAACCAGUAAAUAAAUAUUUGUUAAUGCUUAGUAUGUGAACUUUCUUUAAAAUUUCACUUCUACCUAUUUUUGGAAAAUAAAUUCCUGUUUACGCUAGUAUAUAUGUAGCAUGACCCUCGUAUGUAUAAGCUUUUGUAAUUGUGUAACGAUUUUCCUGAAAGGUCUGCCAAACAUUUGAUGUUAUUGAAAUAGACAUUUAUCAAAUGCUAUUGAAUGAAGAAUUGUGCUUCCAUUAGAAUUAGAAUUAAAAGACCGUUUGCUUUAUAUACUGUGGGACUCCCUAGAAGGAAGCAAGAUAGGAAGAAUAUUUAUAUACUUACUGUGGAUCCAGUCAAGUAGCUACACUUGUCACUCUGGACUCAAUUUUAUGGUUCCUUCACUUGUUAGGGGAGAUAUUUUCAUAAUUCUGCUCCCUGUGGGGGUAGUUCAGAGCUACAGAUCCAAGUGAAUCGGGGAAUGCUGUUGAAUGAAGAAUCAUGUUCACUUGGAGAUGACAAGUGAAUCGGGGAUUAUGAUUAUAGAGACCUAUUAAUUAAAGACCGAAAGGGUUUACUGACAGCACCAUAAUAUCUAUAAUUUUGCUCAUCACUAGUGUAUAUUAUGUCAGAGUGUAAUUUCGUUGAAAUUAUGCAAAAUCUGGAAUAAUUGCUUCGAAUUUAUUCGAGUUGUUCUGACUUUUGUGUUAGACAGAAGUGUGGUUUUCCUAGUGAAAUGGACUGCUUUGUUUGAGGAAAUGUAUAGCUCAGUCUUCAAUUUUGCUUUGUGUGGACUACUGAUAUUUAUGCAUUUGGACAAUUAAGUAAUAAUUCUGUUUACUUUUAUCUGCUAUUUAUGGAUAGAGUAUGUUGGGUUUUAAGCAUGAUUUCUCUUUCUUCCUGUUUGAGUCUGUAUCCUCACUUCUCCCACAUCUUUUCUAUUAUGUUCUCUUUACAACUUUCUCGUCCUGUCCUGUUACCUGGAUAUGGCGCCUUUUACUGUCUAUUUGUUCUUUAAUUGUCUUUCACUUCUUCUUCUUUCUUCUUUCAUUUUUUUUUUCCUUUUUUUUUCCCCCCUUUUUGCCUUGCCUUGUUUCUUCUAUAGGAGAAUAAAGAAUUUGAUCUCAAGAGGAUGUGCUGAGCAACAACUAUUCAUGGGCAUUGUUGCCAAAAGUCACUAACCUGGAACCAAGUAUUGCUGUUAAAAUUCAAAUACUUAAUUAAGAUUGUAUUUCAUGUCUCCCAUUGC